rnacentral:rRNA from 1 species
UACGGAAGGCAGCAGUGGGGAAUAUUGCACAAUGGGCGCAAGCCUGAUGCAGCCAUGCCGCGUGUAUGAAAAAGGCCUUCGGGUUGUAAAGUACUUUCAGUCGUGAGGAAGGUGUUAAGGUUAAUAACCUUAGCAAUUGACGUUAGCGACAGAAGAAGCACCGGCUAACUCCGUGCCAGCAGCCGCGGUAAUACGGAGGGUGCGAGCGUUAAUCGGAAUUACCGGGCGUAAAGGGCACGCAGGCGGUUAAUUAAGUUGGAUGUGAAAUCCCCGGGCUUAACCUGGGAAUGGCAUUCAAGACUGGUUAGCUAGAGUCUUGUAGAGGGGGUAGAAUUCCAUGUGUAGCGGUGAAAUGCGUAGAGAUGUGGAGGAAUACCGGUGGCGAAGGCGGCCCCUGGACAAAGACUGACGCUCAUGUGCGAAAGCGUGGGGAGCAAACAGGGAUUAGAUACC